GCUAGCUCAAGCUGCUUAACUGCUUUUUUCCCAAGGUUCCAUGGGAACUGUCUUCCCAUCUUAAUUGAUUGGCGUUUCACAAAGUUCUGAGCUCCUUUUCUUUUUGCAGAUGCUUUUGUCGCUUCUAAAAAUCUUCAUUUACAUUCAACAACAUGAAAAGUGUUUUAAGGAAAGUGAAUUAUUCAACUCUGAAUCAGAACCUAAUAUUUCCCCCAGCUCUGUGAUUCUGCACAAACUACAUCCUAUGCCUGAAAUUUUCUCCCUGGCCUCUUACUCUUGGAAUCUAUAUCUCAAAAGUAUUUUUCAAUGAAGAGGAAAAGGUCCGAAGAAAUAAAUCUCAAUUUCAUAAAUUUCA
rnacentral:lncRNA from 1 species